AAAAGCUUUCUGAACGUUCCACACCGUAAGUGGCCAUAGACGCCGCCGCAGGCGAACAUUACCUCAUUUCUUCUUCCUCCUCGCAAAACCCUGAGCAGCCGAAAAACCUCGCUCGGCAACAGCACGGACCUUCCGGCGCGAGGAACUCGUCGGCUCGUUGAUUCGAUCGCGCCGGAGCUAUGCACGCCGCCGCGAGAGCUCGCAGGCUCUGCCGCAUUCUCAAGCCUCCGGUUCAUCUCGGCUCGGCUGGAUUCGUCCCUCCGAAUGACUACCGAGUCGCGGAAUGCGCUCGGAUUCGGGCGCAAGCAUGUCGAGAUCGCAGCUCCUCCUUCUCCUCUGCUGCUCAGUCCCUCGGUUUCGCAGUGAAAGGUUUUGAUGUGAUUGUCGUUGGAAUUCCCAAGGCCGGUUCAUGGCAAUAGAUUGCCUGCAGCCUUGCAUUCGAUAAAUUCGAGUUUACAAUAUUCUUCUGAAGCAAGUGGCUGAAAGGGAGGAACCCACAGAGACUGUGAAGGAGAUGUAUGAUAAAAUUCUUGAAUCCGUCAAUAUGAAGGGAAAAAAAUAACAGUAGCUCCAAACACAUGGACAUGGUCGAUGAUCGGAAAUUGCAAGAACAGAGAGGAUAUUAAGUUUCUCUCUGAUGUCUUGCAGAACUUACGCAGAUUUGUCAGUUGACCUCUGGCUCCAUUUGAGAAGUAUAGUUUUACUUUUUGAGUAGUCGAUAAAUUAACCUGGUUUUUUCUUUCAUCACAGAGAUUGUCAAAUCUUUGAAUUCAUGAGAAUUUUAACUGCUACCUUUGUCAGGAAGUCACAAAAGCAUGUGUGCGUGCAAGGGCUCUUGAUUUUGGCGAGCUUUAUCUACGCAAGUUGUGUGCUAAGUUCAAAAAAUUUUGUCUUGCUAAUAUAGUCUUCUACAUUC